CGAUAUGCAUGCUUCUCAGUGGGACGUCAAUAACUUAUCCUGCUGUUGUUCGUCUUGGUUGGGCAGAUCUGUGAGAGGUGGAAAAAAGUCGUCGAUGUACAACCCCCCCAACAAUAAUUACCACAAUUUUUUAAAAAACUAGAGGACUGACUGAACGUCAGUGCGUAAUGCCUGAUUUGAGAUCGUACCACCGGUACAAGGUGUGAUCUACAAUAGUGCACUGAUAUCAGUGAUGAGAAGAAAGAUAACGAACAACAACGACAUCUGAUAAGCAGGUACGGACCGAGUCAUGGAACAUUUUUGAUGAUGGGGAAUUAAACCCCCUUAACCCAUGCCAGGGACUGGUCGGCGUAGUCGGCAUUCAGCCAACGAGGUCGCCUAGGUCCGUGAUUCAAAUACAUGAUGGAUUCAAUAGACUCGUUGACUAGAGAUUAUGGACAUGGCACCGUGGACGGAAUAAUAUGUUUUAGUCACUGACUGCACAUUUUGAAUUGAAAAAGCAUCACAUCAGAUCUAAUGAUCCGGGUAACGAACAGGGAUAACUAGAAUUGAUGCAUGCAAUCAUGUAGUCAUUGGUUUUACAUCCUCAAUGUUGUUAUUUGAAUAUCUGGUUACUCAAUGCCAACAAGGUAAUACAAUUAAUACAAUAAUAUACAUAUAACAUGAUACACUUUUCCACAACCGUGUGAUAUCUCUUCUGUAAUCACGCAUUUCUAAUGUUCCAUUUCAAUACAUAUGUAUGUAUUGAACUUACCUACAGUACAUCUUAGCAUAUACGUUUUUUAGGCACCAAAUAAUUACUAACAGCUCGCUAUGCGCUCAUUAUACUGCUAAGAGAAGCAUGUGUAUGUGACUAAAUGUUAAAAAUAAGCGGGAUCUAAAAGGUACGGCACCAUGAAUCACAGUUGCUUUUUUCAUCUGGUUCAAAAUUAUACCUCCACAAAAGAGACAUAUCGUCCCCUUUCUGCGUCAAAAUUGAGAUUAUUGGCUAGAAAUCCUGUAAAGUACUUUUGAACAGACUAAGUUCUUUGAAAUUGAAAAUUUUCCUGUACGUCACAGGAUAUGGCUUUUGAGGGCUCAUCCCUCGCCCAUAAUUCGAGAUUUUACCCUUGUCGAAUUUUACGACAAGCGAUCUGCCUCCUGAUUAUUCCAGGGAUUGGUUGACAUUGAAAAAAACUAGAUCAUUGAUGUCUACCGUUGAAUUGAAUUUAUAGUUAAUUCAUGUUAAUGUUACACCCAAACUUACACCUACUGUAAAUAUAUUACCCGACAUUGGUUGGGCAUUUAAUUGUUAAUUCAUGAAAAGAAUAACUUAUUGCAGGUGGAUGCAUGAUGCAUUUCAAGAUCUGCGUCAUUGCAUCCUUGAGUGCUUAAGGUACCAAGAAGUAUGUUUUGAGUGAGCGCGCCAGAAUCUUUAAUCUGUCUUGAUUAACUUUUAUGUUUCAAAGGAUAUGUACUACAUAGGUACAGUCUUAUACGUACAGUGAGAAUUCUGGCUACUACACAUGACAGGCACAAUCGAGGCAAGAUAAAGAGAAAGGCCGAGGCUUGUCAAUGACACAAUGCCGUUGCGAUGCAGUUGAGUAGAUGUGACAAUACAAUCUCACUUUCCUCAUAAGAUGUUAACAUUUUCAAUUAUAUGAAUGAUUUAGUGGGGUGCUUGUUAAUUCUCUAUUCUACCAUUCCAGCCUAACUAUGGAUUAUUUACAGCGACAGGUAUUUCAUAUAAGUUUUCACUAAUGCUGUCUUGAAUUAAAUUCAUCGCAUUAGUCAACGCCUCAUCCUAAGAGGUUGAUUCGCCUGCUGUAGAUGACGCUGGUAACUGCUGAGGUUGAUCUGGGGUGAUGGAAUAUAGGAGUUUGCAAAGCAAUGACGAAUUCCAAUUAUUGAAGAUUAUCACAUGGGAUUACCUGGUGUCGACACUCACCCUUCCAUUUCUCCACCGGCAAGUCCAUAUCUUCAAAACUUUGGUCAUAUGGUAAGGACUCCGGCUCAUCAGAAGGGUCUGCAUAUUGUGCAAGGUAAGGAUGUGCCAAUGCCUGUUGUGCCGUUAUUCUCCUUUCCGCAUCCAACUCUAACAUUAAUUCCAGCAAGUUGAUUGCUGUAACAUGUAGCAGAAAGUUUAGGGCUAUUCACCCUUGUUCAUAAACAGCGAUACUUGUUUUGAGAGAUUCAUAAUUCAAUACCUAUUACACCUAUUAAUUUUAUCAAGCAGUUUCUCUCACCUAAUGGAUUCGCACCACGAAACACUUCCUUGAAAUCCUUCUUUUUGAGUGGAGGUAAGCUUUGUAUGUAAUUUCUAGCCUGGAAUAAAAUUUGAUUGUUACCCAAGUUAAAAUGCGUACAAAGCUAUUAUACGUAUCAAGUUAACUUGAAAAGAAAUCACUUUAGUCUAUAGCAGCAUGAUUCGAGCAUGUUCAAGCAUCGGUUAUUGAUUUUCAUGGGUAAAACGUAGCUUUAUCUUCCAGAUAAAUCAAAUAAGCCCUUGAAAGUUCAAUUUUGUUAUCGAUCGUGCAAAGGGUUGGUAGAAUUUGCAUGCAAAACAUGUUCAAUCGCGUAUCAGCAUAUGUAUUUUCAUGCCAGUAAUUGAUUAAAACGGUCUUAAAAUUCUUCCGGUGAGAGGAGCACUAUACCUAUAUGGAGAUAUAUACAUUCAAUGAAUACACAGUACAGGUGCAGUGAAAACAUUUAAACCGGAGGGAUUCAGCAUCGACAAUACUUGGCAAAGUGACGCUGUGUGACGUGAUGCAAUGUGCCAGACCCUACACUAUAUUUGACUCAAUUCCUAUUUACCUCUUGGCUGGUAAUUUUGGCUAAAGUAUCUUCUGUGGGCGUACCACAAAGCACGAGCACUCUGGUUAGAUGAUCAAUGUCUGACAACAGUUAAGGCAUUUUGUUUCAAGCGAAACUCACAUAAAGUUUUGCAUAAACAUGGAAAUUUCUUUUGGACUUCAAAGGUUGCAACAAUUUUAUGGUAUUUUAUACUCUGCAAAGCGAUCAGUAUGUGGUGGAUGACUGUCAGUUUGAAGGUAGCAUACGAUCGUAUAUAUCUGUAUAAUUAGCAUAAUAUCAACAGGUCAUAAAACCACUCCGCGACUAUUCGAACACUGGAAUUCUCACACAGCAUGAUUAAACGUCUUAAUAAAUUAAAAAAGUAAUGUGAAGCAAUGACAGGUAGCUCAGGCAGAUGAGUGAAACACUUCAUGCACCAUAAAAGUAGAUAAGCAAGGUUCAUUGCACUUGAGGGUUUGAAUAACAAGAACCGUAUUCUGUAAUGAAAUACAUGUGAUUGUAAGAGGCUUUAUCUAUAUUCCCAUCAAUAAGAAAUUCGUCUGAGAUUGGGAAUUCGGUAACACAAUAUGAAGAGUUAAUUUGACAUACAUUGAAGCUCGAACUGAUAUCUGAUGGACAAUAAUUAAAGUUCAUAGAAUUGCCUAUCUCAGAUUGAUCUGAGUCGACAUAUAUAAAGAUCACAAUGUAGAAUUCAUUGAACCUACCUAAAUUCAAUGUCUUGUGGAGGAGAAAAAAUGUCCCGUUUGUGCAGAAACCUCAUCAUAAUUAUUUAGCAUAUAGUGUGUUUACUAGCGUUAAAUAAUUUCUGCACACUUACCGACUCUGAAGAUAUUUUUUGCAUGAACUCGUCCCGUGGUGUACCCAGUAUCUCCAUGAUAAGAUUCAGUUGGUGGAUAUCUGCUGAGGCUAAGGCUCCACUGACAAUACGCGACUAUUGAGUAUAUCAAGAUACAAGUGUACAUCAUACGUCAAUUCAAAUGCAAUGAAAGCUGUUGCUGCAGCAGACAUUCACACAUAUUUUCAAGAAAUGUGUAUUCGCAUUUCAUAAUGUAUGAUGCCAGGUUUAUAUCAAGUAUUAUCUGUGGUACGCGUGUGUCGUAUUUUUGAAAACUGACUGUAGAUAUAGCAAUUUUUAUCAAUAAUAAUAAGCAUCGAUUAUUUUCAGUGAGAAGAGCUAGUUGUGAUUGAAGGUGAAAUCAUUUAUUCAAGUUAUUGUAUUGCUACGUUGAAGCGUCUUUAAACGUGCUUGAAUAUGAGUAUGCAGUUACCAGAUAGCUUGCUCCAAAGUCAUUCAAUUGGAACCAAUUUGAACCAAGCAGAGAUAGCAUAUAGAGCAAUAAAUUGAACUUUUACCUAUUACGUGCAAGUUGGUCUGUUGAAAUGUUACGAUUAAUAGACUUUCAAUACUUGCAGAUUUGUGUGAGAAAGGCAAUCCGUUCCUUGGAUUCUUGAUAGAUCCUUAGCAAGAAAACAAAAACUAUUGAAGAACAACAAGAAUGUGAGAACACACAUGCUGCUUUUAGGGUCACGCUGGCAAGGAAACAACGUCCUUCCAGUCAGUAAUUCAGCCAUUAUACACCCAACUGACCAAAUAUCGACUGAAAUUCAGUGAAUUUAGAUUUAUGAAAUCAUAUCAAGUUGGAAUAGACACAUGAAUGCACACAAAAAAAGAACAAUAGAGAUGAAGAGAUCUAAGUGGGGAUAGACAGUUUUCCGUUUCAAAACGGUUUCACAUGAAAUAAAUACCAGUCUGGUUGUAAUGCAUCCAGUUGAGCAUAAUCUCUGGAGCUCUGUACCACCUUGUCGCCACAUAUCCUGUCAUCUCGUUCUCUGUCGGCCUGGCUAACCCAAAAUCCAGAAUUUUCAGUUCACAGUCUUCAUUAACGGCAAUGUUGGAUGGCUUCAAAUCCUGAUAAGUAAUUGUGAAGGACAAUUAUCAUCAAAUAACUACCACGCAGAUGAAACAAGCACAGAAGAACCAGCAAUUUGGCGAUGGAAGUUCUGAUAGAAAGUCAUUAACAUAGGAACAAAAUUGUCGUGAAUUUACCCUGUGAAUUAUUCCUGCUGAGUGAAUGUAUUUCAGACCACGAAGUAUCUGAUACACUAGGAACUGUACGUGAUCAUCGCUAAGCUUCUGCGUUCGUACAAUAUUAUUCAAGUCUGCCCCCAUUAAAUGCGUGACCAAGUAACUGUAACAAAAGCCAUGUUAGGUCAGUUGAGUGACUACGAAGUAUGAAGAGGUAGUGAAGUAUUUUUCCCCUAAUACAUACACGUGCUGGAAGUCUGUCAACGUUGUAGAUGGGUGGAACACAUCAAGUAAUCCAAUCACCUAAAAAUUUUUGCAAUUAUCACAUUUUGGGUGCAUGAACCAUUAAUUUACUUGAACAUUUAAAUCACUGUAUGGCAACCUACAUUUUCAUGAUUCAUGUGCUUCAACAUGCGCAAUUCUCUAUAGGUUCUCUUGGCAUGUACAGCCGAUUGGAACGGUCGUGCCAACUUCUUUAUGGCUACCUUUUGCUUGUUGGCUGUGUCUACGGCUGAGCUGUAAGUGAUAAGAGAAAUAUGCAUGUAUAAUGCAAUCUUUAUAUUUGUGACAUACAGGAGCAACCUUUUCAAACCAUUUUUCAAAGCUGGAGGACAAUGUCAAGUUGGGAUCCUCAAGUUACAAAACUCGCAACUUGAGUACGAUUCAUGCACAAUGAAUUAGAAUCAGCACCGCACAAUUUAAGAUGAAAACGGUUUUGAAGGACUGCGGUGUGACAUACCAACGAAAGAUUGUUGUUGUUCAUCUGUACGAUUAAUGCUAUCGCUUCUGUCUUUGAAUAAUUGCAUUUGACAAGCACUAUGAAUAAGUUUGGUGAAAAUAGCUACUAGUGAAAUCCAUGAAAUCCUGACGCGCGACCGCGAUUGUGUUAUGGCCUAUGCGCUAUCGUGUAUCCACUGCUAUAGUGGGCGAGAUAAGCCUGAGAAGCGAGGAAACGACGAGCAGGUACGGAUACCUGUGGGAAUG